rnacentral:lncRNA from 10 species
CUACGCUCCGCCUCACGCCCGAGGCGGUGGCUGCGAGGGCCGCGCCGCCGCGGUCCUAGUGCCACCAGAGAAGCCGCGGACCCGGCCCGCAGAUAACACCCGGGCUUGCAGAGCGCUUUCAUCUGCCCGACGCGGAAAUCUCCUGCAGCGAUCUUCUACCUUCAGCGUGCAUCCGCAGCACCCAGAGGGCACGUUAAAGAGAGAUUGAGAACCACCAGCAAAACUGCUGAUUCAGUUCUUAUUUGAGACACUCCCCAAAACAAUGAAGCCAUCCUUGUAAUUAAAAGUGGCAACAGAAAACACCUGAAAAAAGGCCUCAAUCUGAACCAUGUCAGGAGGUUUAGAACACAAGAGGACUCACCCAGUGAAUUCCAGGGCUAUCAAGAUCAAUGGAGUGCAAAAGCGUCCUGCAGUCAAGGGAAGUCGCAAAACCAGACGGAAUUCAAGGGAAGGAAACCGACUCCGCCUCUGAUGGCUGCAACAGUAUGCACAUUCAGGGAGGAAAGGAAUUAGCAGUGGUCAUCUUUCUGGACCAUCUACCACAGUGGCUAAAGUUAACACCUAGAAAGGAAGGUCGUGUUUUCAGCUUCUUUGACUGCUGCUCCAGGUGUCAAACCCUGAAGGGUGAGCUGACGCUAAAGACUGAGUGGUUAUUUUUUCCAGAAGAGGAGAAAGAUUGAAAAUGUGGCCGGCCGAUUCUCCCUGAUGAUCACACAGACAGACCUGCAUGACAGUCAAACAGACAGGCCUGCAUAGCACCCCAGUUACACAGACGAAUUUCCCCAGAGCUGCCUUAACAUUGAGCAAAUAGUUAAACCUAGGGAAAUUGGUGCCCAGACAGCAAAGCUAGAAAUGAAACAUAUGGUCAGUAGGAGCCUUGCGUGGGCUUCUCCCUAACCUGGAGCAAACCAAAAUAAUAGAGACAGUCUUUCAUUCCUAGUGCCAGGACCCGUCUCGGGUCAACGAAAUCUGAGACAGUCAAGGUAACAGAGGCAGCUGUUCGAAUAGAUUCAUUGGAGAGUCUAAGGCAGCCCUCCAGACCAAGCUGUAAAGCAGAUAAGAUAGAAAUAAUCACUCUGGUACCACAGUAGACAGGCCUUGUAGGUACUGGGCCGCUCACAGCUUAAUCCGACUUAGAAAGCAUUUUUGCCUCUGACCUUCUAGUUGAAACAAAAUUAGUUACCAGUAGACUUAGGCAAAUGCUACACUGCACACAGGCGCAUAACCCCAACCUAUAUAAACACUAAGACAAUUGUUGACACUUUGAGUUGGCCUGGUGGAAUUAUCUCCAGCCUUCUGCCUGUAUCUGGUUACAGCAAUAAAUUCCCUUCUUUCCUAGUCUGUCUGCUUCUCGUUAUUGGGCCUCAAGAAAAUGCAGCCGGACCCGGCUUGGUUCCGGGAACAAAAAUGCAUAUUUUAGGUAGGAUGUAAUUACAGGGAUUGACAAUCAAACACAUACAACAUACUGAAACCAUGGACUAUGUGUAGCAUUAGACAGAAACAGGAAGCACCCAGGAUAGGGAAAUGGCUGCUUCCUGGAGUCUCUCCACUGCCACUCACCACUGCCACACUGGCUGCUCAGAUAUGUGGUUAAGAAGCCAAGGCUCACGUGCCCAAGAGUGUUCUGCCCAGGAGGGGAAAAAUUCUUUUUCCUUCUACUCAUUUUAGAUUUACAGGCUGGGCCCUGUAAAUUAGAUUGACAAAAGACAGAUUAACAAGAUAAAAACGUUUUUAUUUUAUUUUAUUUAUUUUUUAUUUUUUUAUUUGUAUUAUUAUUAUUUUUUGAGACGGAGUUUCGCUCUUGUUGUCCAGGCUGGAGUGCAAUGGUGCCAUCUCAGCUCACCGCAACC